rnacentral:rRNA from 1 species
GAUGAACGCUGGCGGCGUGCCUAAUACAUGCAAGUCGAGCGAACGGACGAGAAGCUUGCUUCUCUGAUGUUAGCGGCGGACGGGUGAGUAACACGUGGAUAACCUACCUAUAAGACUGGGAUAACUUCGGGAAACCGGAGCUAAUACCGGAUAAUAUUUUGAACCGCAUGGUUCAAAAGUGAAAGACGGUCUUGCUGUCACUUAUAGAUGGAUCCGCGCUGCAUUAGCUAGUUGGUAAGGUAACGGCUUACCAAGGCAACGAUGCAUAGCCGACCUGCGAGGGUGAUCGGCCACACUGGAACUGAGACACGGUCCAGACUCCUACGGGAGGCAGCAGUAGGGAAUCUUCCGCAAUGGGCGAAAGCCUGACGGAGCAACGCCGCGUGAGUGGUGAAGGUCUUCGGAUCGUAAAACUCUGUUAUUAGGGAAGAACAUAUGUGUAAGUAACUGUGCACAUCUUGACGGUACCUAAUCAGAAAGCCACGGCUAACUACGUG